AGAAGAUGCUGAGCUAUGUGUUGUCAAAAUCAAGAAAGGAGACCAUUUCUAGUUGACUAGAAAUAAGAAUUAGUCAACUACAUCAAGCACUAAAGAAAGACUAAAUGGAAUAAGGACUGUUCUUGAAGCCUUUCUUCAUAAAAGAAAGAUGACUCUGACUGCCAAGUUGGGAACAGACUGAGGAGGAAGCCACAGUGAGAAGGAGUGGUUAGGAGGCUACUGCAAUGAUUCAGGCAAUAGGUGAUUAUAGCUCACACGAGGGUGAAAGAAGAGGAGGUGGGAAGAAGUUCUCACUUGACCACUUUUUAGAUCUAUUUUGAAGGAGGAGCCAAAAGAAUGUCCUGAGAGAUUGGACGUAGGAUGUGAAAAAAAUGGUCCGCCUUUUCCAAUGUCAAUACCCUGCAUGAAAGAUAAACUCUGCUUUAACU